CCUACGGGAGGCAGCAGUGGGGAAUAUUGGACAAUGGGCGAAAGCCUGAUCCAGCCAUGCCGCGUGUGUGAAGAAGGCCUUCGGGUUGUAAAGCACUUUCAGUGGGGAAGAAAGCCUUGGGGCUAAUACCCUCGAGGAAGGACAUCACCCACAGAAGAAGCACCGGCUAACUCCGUGCCAGCAGCCGCGGUAAUACGGAGGGUGCGAGCGUUAAUCGGAAUUACUGGGCGUAAAGCGCGCGUAGGCGGUCUGAUAAGCCGGUUGUGAAAGCCCCGGGCUCAACCUGGGAACGGCAUCCGGAACUGUCAGGCUAGAGUGCAGGAGAGGAAGGUAGAAUUCCCGGUGUAGCGGUGAAAUGCGUAGAGAUCGGGAGGAAUACCAGUGGCGAAGGCGGCCUUCUGAACUGACACUGACGCUGAGGUGCGAAAGCGUGGGUAGCAAACAGGAUUAGAUACCCGUGUAGUC
rnacentral:rRNA from 1 species